rnacentral:rRNA from 1 species
CAGCCGUAAACUAUGCUCGCUAGGUGUCAGGGACGGUGCGACCGUUUCUGGUGCCGCAGGGAAGCCGUGAAGCGAGCCACCUGGGAAGUACGGUCGCAAGGCUGAAACUUAAAGGAAUUGGCGGGGGAGCACUACAACGGGUGGAGCCUGCGGUUUAAUUGGACUCAACGCCGGGAAGCUCACCGGAUAAGACAGCGGAAUGAUUGCCGGGCUGAAGACUCUGCAUGACUAGCUGAGAGGAGGUGCAUGGCGUAGACGUCU